rnacentral:misc_RNA from 1 species
GUUUCCGUAGGUGGACCUGCGGAAGGAUCAUUCAUAAUAAGUGUUUUAUGGCACUUUUUUAAAUCCAUAUCCACCUUGUGUGCAAUGUCAGGGUUGAUUUUUCUCUCGAGAGGAUCAACCCCAAACAUCAACUAUAUCUCAACUCUUUGUCUGAAAGAUAUUAUGAAUAAAACAAUUCAAAAUACGACUUUCAACAACGGAUCUCUUGGCUCUC